UACGAAGGGUGCAAGCGUUAAUCGGAAUUACUGGGCGUAAAGCGCGCGUAGGUGGUUUGUUAAGUCUGCUGUGAAAGCCCUGGGCUCAACCUGGGAAUGGCGGUGGAUACUGACAAGCUAGAGUGCGGUAGAGGAGGGUGGAAUUCCCGGUGUAGCGGUGAAAUGCGUAGAGAUCGGGAGGAACAUCAGUGGCGAAGGCGGCUGCCUGGGCCAGUUCUGACGCUGAGGCGCGAAAGCGUGGGGAGCAAACAGG
rnacentral:rRNA from 1 species